rnacentral:rRNA from 1 species
UUAGGGUCAUUGGAAACUGGGGAACUUGAGUGCAGAAGAGGAGAGUGGAAUUCCACGUGUAGCGGUGAAAUGCGUAGAGAUGUGGAGGAACACCAGUGGCGAAGGCGACUCUCUGGUCUGUAACUGACGCUGAGGAGCGAAAGCGUGGGGAGCGAACAGGAUUAGAUACCCUGGUAGUCCACGCCGUAAACGAUGAGUGCUAAGUGUUAGGGGGUUUCCGCCCCUUAGUGCUGCAGCUAACGCAUUAAGCACUCCGCCUGGGGAGUACGGUCGCAAGACUGAAACUCAAAGGAAUUGACGGGGGCCCGCACAAGCGGUGGAGCAUGUGGUUUAAUUCGAAGCAACGCGAAGAACCUUACCAGGUCUUGACAUCCUCUGACAAUCCUAGAGAUAGGACGUCCCCUUCGGGGCAGAGUGACAGGUGGUGCAUGGUUGUCGUCAGCUCGUGUCGUGAGAUGUUGGGUUAAGUCCCGCAACGAGCGCAACCCUUGAUCUUAGUUGCCAGCAUUCAGUUGGGCACUCUAAGGUGACUGCCGGUGACAAACCGGAGGAAGGUGGGGAUGACGUCAAAUCAUCAUGCCCCUUAUGACCUGGGCUACAACACGA